rnacentral:rRNA from 1 species
AUACGGAGGAUCCGAGCGUUAUCCGGAUUUAUUGGGUUUAAAGGGAGCGUAGGCGGACUAUUAAGUCAGCUGUGAAAGUUUGCGGCUCAACCGUAAACUUGCAGUUGAUACUGGUCGUCUUGAGUGCAGUAGAGGUAGGCGGAAUUCGUGGUGUAGCGGUGAAAUGCUUAGAUAUCACGAAGAACUCCGAUUGCGAAGGCAGCUUACUGGACUGUAACUGACGCUGAUGCUCGAAAGUGUGGGUAUCAAACAGGAUUAGAUACCCUGGUAGUCCACACAGUAAACGAUGAAUACUCGCUGUUUGCGAUAUACGGCAAGCGGCCAAGCGAAAGCAUUAAGUAUUCCGCCUGGGGAGUACGCCGGCAACGGUGAAACUCAAAUGAAUUGACGGGG